rnacentral:rRNA from 1 species
CCUACGGGAGGCAGCAGUGAGGAAUAUUGGUCAAUGGGCGGGAGCCUGAACCAGCCAAGCCGCGUGAGGGAAGAAGGUACAGCGUAUCGUAAACCUCUUUUGUCAGGGAACAAAGGCGGGGACUAGUCCCCGGAUGAGGGUACCUGAAGAAAAAGCAUCGGCUAACCCCGUGCCAGCAGCCGCGGUAAUACGGGGGAUGCGAGCGUUAUCCGGAUUUAUUGGGUUUAAAGGGUGCGCAGGCGGCCUGUUAAGUCAGCGGAAAAGCCCGGGGCUCAACCCCGGCGAGCCGUUGAGACUGGCGGGCUGGAGUUGGAGAGAAGAAGGCGGAAUGCGAGGUGUAGCGGUGAAAUGCUUAGAUAUCGCGCAGAACCCCGAUUGCGAAGGCAGCGUACCGGCGCCACACUGACGCUGAGGCACGAAAGCGUGGGGAUCGAACAGGAUUAGAUACCCGAGUAGUC